GAGAUGGUGGGAAGAGUAGCCUGGAUUAUCCUGCAGGGGGCCUAACCUAAUUACUUGGGUCCUUAAAAGAGGAGAACACAUCCCAGCUGAGCUUAGAGUCAGAGAGGGGACGUAAUCUUGGAAGAAUGUCCUGAGAGGAUGCAAGCCUGCUGGCAGUGAAGGUGGGAGAAGUGAGGGCACAAUCCAAGGGAUGUGAGUGGCCUCUGAGAACUAAAAAAGCAAGGAAAUAUUCUCUCCUGGAGCCUCCAGGAGGAGCACACCCUGCUGAUACCUGGAUUUUAGCCAGAUGAGAACUGUGUUGGAUCCUUGACCUCCAGACCAGUAAGUGACACGUGGCUCACAGGAUCUUCCUAUUGGACAGCAGUGAGCCAGAACAUCUGAAAACAAAGCAGCCCCAGAGAAAGCCCCAGCUACAGCUUCCAUGUAGCAGUAUCUCACGUGCCUCCUAGCUGCUUUGGGAAAUGGAACUGUGAUACUUCCAAAAGAGGGACUGGCAUUUGAGACACAGCAUAAGUGAAACAGUGAAUAAAUCAAAUUCCCCUACUACUUGUGAUAUAUACCUUGCACCUUGUAUCAGGUGCAAAAUGAGGCGCCAAGAGGCAGGAGUGGAAAUCUGGGAGAACACAAGAGUUCACUAUCUACCUGUACGCAAGUUACAACUCUCACCAGAAUGAACAUGAAGCACCAUUACAU
ensembl:lncRNA